rnacentral:rRNA from 1 species
GACGAACGCUGGCGGCGUGCUUAACACAUGCAAGUCGAGCGGUAAGGCCCUUUCGGGGGUACACGAGCGGCGAACGGGUGAGUAACACGUGGGUGACCUGCCCUCAGCUCUGGGAUAAGCCUGGGAAACCGGGGUCUAAUACUGGAUAUGACUCCAUGACGCAUGUUGUGGGGUGGAAAGCCUUGUGCGGCUGAGGAUGGGCCCGCGGCCUAUCAGCUUGUUGGUGGGGU